ensembl:miRNA
UUAUCAGAAUCUCCAGGGGUACUUAUAAUUUGAAAAAGUCCCCCAGGUGUGAUUCUGAUUUGC